CCUCCUUUAAAGAAAACCGGAAGCUGUUGGUCGAGGAAGGAAGCUGCCUCCAAACAAGCACUAGUUAUAAAAGUUCAACAUUUGUGUGACCAAAGUUUGACUCGACAAUGUCCGGAUCAUCCAACAUCGCAGCGAUGAAGAAAAUCGUCCAGCAGCUGCGUCUAGAAGCCGGAAUCCACAGAGUCAAGGUGUCCCAGGCCGCCGCCGACCUGCAGCAGUUCUGCCUGCAGAACGCCCAGCAGGACCCUCUGCUCACCGGCAUGUCCUCCAGCAACAACCCGUUCAGACCGCAGAAGGUCUGCUCCUUCCUAUAGCAGCCUCCGCCUCUGUGAGUGACAACCAGACACAUCUGCACGGCCUCUGGUGUAGCUCUGCCAGAGGUGAAGGAAUUCAAUCCAGAGCAACUGUAUUGUCCCCAGAGGGUUUUGGACAUUGUGGUGCCUUGUGGAACUGAGCUGCAGGAUCCUGCAUCAUGGACUGGAAUCGUCUCAGGAGUUAUAGGAAAUUUCGGGACAAACGACUAACUUAAGAUUUUCUUUUUUUUUUUGAACUGUUGCCUUUGUAAAAUCUGAUCCAGAAACAUUUCCAGGUGCUUAGGGGGCACAAUAGAUGUCUUAACCUACUUGCUUUAAAUUAACUAGCCCACAUCAUCACCCACUGUGCCUUUUGAAUUGUACAUGUUUUUCCAUUCAUGAUUGAUUUUGAGAAAAGAAAAAAAAAUCAAUGGUAUUUCCAUAGUUGAAAGUUUUAAUAAAAGUAUACACAUAUUUAGAAA